AAAAAGUCAAACCAUGGGUUUCCGUGUCCAACACUGUCCGUCUUAUAUGAAAUUUUUUUAUAAUUCGUAUUUUUAUUGUUGUUAGAUGAUAAAACAUGAUUAAUAUUUUAUGCGUGACUUGUCUUUUUAUUUUUUUUCAUAAUUUUUUCAAAUAAGACAGACGGUGAAACAUUGGACACGGAAACUAGGGUUUGUCUUUUU
rfam:Oryza glumipatula chromosome 3, whole genome shotgun sequence.